UACAGAGGUCUCAAGCGUUGUUCGGAUUCAUUGGGCGUAAAGGGUGCGUAGGUGGCGGGGCAAGUUUGGUGUGAAAUCCCGGGGCUCAACCCCGGAACUGCACUGAAUACUGCCUUGCUUGAGCACUGGAGAGGAACUGGAAUUUACGGUGUAGCAGUGAAAUGCGUAGAUAUCGUAAGGAAGACCAGUGGCGAAGGCGAGUUCCUGGACAGUUGCUG
rnacentral:rRNA from 1 species